rnacentral:lncRNA from 1 species
CAUAAAACUCAUUUGAAAAGUUGCUUUUAAGUUGAAAGUAGAACCGGAGAUUUAUCUCUAAUUUUUUAUAUAAAUAACAUAUGGGUGGUGCCAAAUUAAUCUUAGAUGAUUAAUACAAGGAUCUAUCAACUAUAUAUCGGGGGAUAUGAGUAGAUACCUUAAUGGAUAGGAUUUCAUAAUUUUCGAUGUAAGUGCAUGUUUAGGAUAGUUGUUUACAUAAGUUAAAACAAAAGAAA